ensembl:lncRNA
CCCCUCUACUCCUUAUUUUUACAUUAUAACUGAAGCACCAACCCCUCUACUCCUUAUUGUUACAUUAUAACUGAAGCACCAACCCCCUCUACUCCUUAUUGUUACAUUAUAACUGAAGCACCAACCCCCUCUACUCCUUAUUGUUACAUUUUAACUGAAGCACCAAUCCCCUCUACUCCUUAUUGUUACAUUAUAACUGAAGCACCAACCCCCUCUACUCCUUAACUAACAGCACACCAACGUCAUGUAGUGGUGAACUGUGAACAUCAUUGUCGUUUAAGCCACGUGUACCAGUAGUCUGGCAACUCUUCAGUUACUGGAUGUCUUCUGAGAGGAUGACUUACCGGAUGAGAAUAAACGGAUGAAUCCGAGACACAUGUUGAACGGUUAUCAUCACGGACACGGAGGAAGGAUCGAAGGGCUGAUGAAGCCGAUAGCAACGCUCCUCCUGACCAAUGGGCUGCCUCCAUUUCAAGUAACAUUAGGACAUUGAUUGAGGGGACCAAUGAUCAGGCCUCCUCCUCUGUGACGUCACGGUGUGACAUCAUCAUGGCGCGAUGCUGAGUAUCAGAGAAGCUCAGCUAAACAUUUCUACCACACUACUCCACCAUAACAACAACAGCUGUUUUGUUUAACAGUGAUGGUUAUCAUUGAAAUGUCAAAAAAGAGAGAAAACAGUUAAAAGCAAAAAUGGGAAUCUAAUUUACUGUGCAGAGUCCUUGGACCAGACCAGACCAGGGAGUACAGUGGACUACAGUAAUGACCUGUGAAUAAUUUAAUUAGACCCUGAGGUCUGGUCUAUCCACCUAUCAGAACAGCCUCCAGAGCCAUAGUCCUGGGUCGUAUUCAAUAGAAACUAACGGAAAAAACAUACCCGAAACAGGGAUGAAUUAUCCUGAACUGGUCCAAUAAGAAACUCUUGUUUUCAGGGCCUCCCGAGUGGCACAGCUGUCUAAGGCACUGCAUCGCAGGGCUUGAGGCAUCACUACAGACCUGGGUUCGAUCCCAGGCUGUGUCACAGCCAGCCGUGACCAGGAAACCCAUGAGGUGGCACACAAUUCGCUCAGCGUUGUUUGGAUUAGGGGAAGGUUUGGCCGGCCGACAUGUCCUUGUCCUUUCGCGAUAUAACGACUCCUUGUGGCAGGCCAGGCGCCUGCAAGCUGACUUCAGUCACCAGUGGAUGGUGUUUCCCCCGACACAUUGGUGCGGAUGGCUUUUGGGUUAAGCAAGCUUGGCAGGGUCGUGUUUCAGGAGGACGCAUGGCCCUUGACCUUUGCCUCUCCCGAGUCCGUAGGGAAGUUUCAGCGAUGGGACUGUAACUACGGAACUCUUGUUUUCCGUUGCAAACAGCUUUUCUACUUUGUACACUACUGAAUAUGACCCAAGCCAACUGGCCCACACCGGACUGCACAGCUCCGUUUGGCUGGAGGACAAGCUCUGCUGAGAGGGGAAUGGACAUGUGACUGUCCCAAAUAGCACCCUAUUCCCUAUCCAGUACACAAAGUAGUGCACUAAAUAUGGAAUAUGUUGCCAUUUGGGAUUCAUCCCAUGUCUGUCUGUCUGGCUCCCAUAACGAUGGUCUGUCUGGCUCCCAUAACGAUGGUCUGUCUGUCUGGCUCCCAAAACGAUGGUCUGUCUGGCUCCCAUAAUGAUGGUCUGUCUGGCUCCCAUAACGAUGGUCUGUCUGUCUGUCUGUCUGACUCUCAUAACGGUGGUCUUUCUGGCUGUGAAGCUCCCAUAAUGAUCAUCUGUCUGUCUGGCUCCCAUAACGAUGGUCUGUCUGGCUUCCAUAAGGAUGGUCUGUCGGUCUGUCUGGCUCUUAUAACGAUGGUCUGUCUAGCUCCCGUAACAAUGAUCUGUCUGGCUCCCGUAACAAUGCUCUGUCUGGCUCCCGUAACAAUGGUCUGUGUAGCUCCCGUAACGAUGGUCUGUCUGUCUAGCUCCCGCAACGAUGGUCUGUCUGGCUCCCGUAACGAUGGUCUGUCUGGCUUCCGUAAUGAUGGUCUGUCUGUCUUGCUCCCAUAAUGAUGGUCUGUCUGUCUGGCUCCCAUAACGAUGGUCUGUCUGUCUGGCUCCCAUAACAAUGGUCUGUCUGUCUGGCUCCCAUAACAAUGGUCUGUCUGGCUUCCAUAACGAUGGUCUAUCUGUCUGGCUCCCAUAACGAUGGUAUGUCUGUCUGGCUCCCAUAACAAUGGUCUGUCUGGCUUCCAUAACGAUGGUCUAUCUGUCUGGCUCCCAUAACGAUGGUAUGUCUGUCUGUCUGGCUCCCAUAACGAUGGUCUGUCUGGCUCCCAUAACCAUGGUCUGUCUGUCUGGCUCCCAUAACCAUGGUCUGUCUGUCUGGCUCCCAUAACGAUGGUCUGUCUGUCUGGCUCCCAUAACAAUGGUCCUUCUGGCUCCCAUAACCAUGGUCUGUCUGUCUGGCUCCCAUAACCAUGGUCUGUCUGUCUGGCUACCAUAACCAUGGUCUGUCUGGCUCCCAUAACCAUGGUCUGUCUGUCUGGCUACCAUAACCAUGGUCUGUCUGGCUCCCAUAACCAUGGUCUGUCUGGCUCCCAUAACCAUGGUCUGUCUGUCUGGCUCCCAUAACCAUGGUCUGUCUGUUUGUUUGGUCUGUGGAUGAUGGGAAUAACAGUGGAUCUGUUUGUUAGCCCUGAUCUGACAUCUUUAACUCGAUUCAAACGUUUUCUAUUUUCUUCAACAGACGAGCGCUUCAGUGUCCUGGUACUUAUGGCCUUGUUCUACCUUGUUAUUACUCACUCUGUCCCCGAUCCUGUCCCUCUCCUUGUUCUACCUUGUUAUUACUCACUCUGUCCCCGAUCCUGUCCCUCUCCUUGUUCUACCUUGUUAUUACUCACUCUGUCCCCGAUCCUGUCCCUCUCCUUGUUCUACCUUGUUAUUACUCAGUCCCCGAUCCUGUCCCUUUCCUUGUUCUACCUUGUUAUUACUCACUCUGUCCCCGAUCCUGUCCCUCUCCUUGUUCUACCUUGUUAUUACUCACUCUGUCCCCGAUCCUGUCCCUCUCCUUGUUCUACCUUGUUAUUACUCACUCUGUCCCCGAUCCUGUCCCUCUCCUUGUUCUACCUUGUUAUUACUCACUCUGUCCCCGAUCCUGUCCCUCUCCUUGCUCUCUUCUGGGUAUCCACCUCUCCAUCCCACAUAGUUAGCAGAGUGAAUUGGCUUCCCUCUCUUUCGCCUUGCAGUUUUACAGAUCAUCCAUGCUUUUAUAUGGGAUCAAACCAAAAAAGAGGGUGUAAACCAAUGUACACCUGGCAUGAGAUGACACUGAGUUGUGCUUCAGUCGAAGUGCUGUGUCCUUCAGAAACCAAGAGGAUUCCCUUCUAGAACUAGAAGGAGAAAUAGAAUGGAUUCCUUCUAAUUCUAUGGGUUCUCUCCAGGUCCAGGCCAGGUGCUGUCUGUCUGUCUGUCUGUCUGUCUGUCUGUCUGUCUGUCUGGUGCUGCUGUGUUCUAGCCUUAACAUUCCAAGCAGGGUCAUGUGGACCCGCUGAGUAGCAUUCUGGGUAAUUUAGGACUGUGUCAACUAACCUCAGCCCAUGUCAUGUCUCAUAAUAGCCAGGGGAAGAAGAAUACUAAUAAAAAUAUCUGUAAGGCAAGAGAUGGUGUCCCUGUUAAGAUUUACCUUAAGCUAAACAACGGUAAAUGCUUCUACAAUAAAACAUUUUUUUUUUUUAUCAAUUGAAAUAAUUGUUUUGAAGUUUACAAUCUUAACAAAAAGCAGAACUAUUCAAGUCUAUAUCCUAAAUGAUUGUCAAGAUUCUUUAAAGAAAAAGUUACUUCAUUUUUUUGGGUUAUUUGUUCUUUUUUCUAGAAGAGAAGAAAAGUCACGUGAAAACCUCACUAUAAUCAGACAAGAAAUCAGAAUCAUAUUUACUGUGUAUUUACUUCACUUCUUAUUACGUGCCUUAUGAUGUAACGUGUUCAUAAUCAAUAUAGGUUUUAUACGGUGUCUGUCUAUCAAAUCGCACCCUAUCCCCUAUAUGAUGCAUUCAUUUAAAGUAGUGCACUAGAUAGGGAAUAGGGUGUAAUAUGAGACGGACACUAUCCUAUGACAGAUUUGAUUCAUGUAGAGAACUGUGUUUUAUAUGUUGGCUGUAUUAUAUGAUCUUUUUGAAAUGGAAGUUAAUGUUUGGUGCUUUGAGUGCACUUCUUAGAGAAAUGAACAGGAAUCUCUGAAAUGCCACAGUGCGUGUGUGUACCGUGGGCCUCUCUAUCCCUGUAACACAGAAUAAUUAUUUCAAAGUUUGAAGACUUAUUCAAAGUCUUACACUUAUUUGGGACUUGGAUGUAGGCAUGUAUAACGUGCUAUUACUCGUUUUAGGUUUUCAUUCUAGUUUUAUUAGCUCGCUUGGGCAAGCAGUUCUGCAGCAGCAUCCUCAGAAUGCCUUGUUAUUACAAUUUAUUGAAGAAAAUACUGAUUGUUUAACAAAUCUGGUGAGGUCCAAAAAAAAGGGGCUUAGGUUUCAACAGUUAGAAGUGAAGCCAGUUUCUACAGUUAGAAGUGAAGCCAGUUUCAACAGUUAGAAGUGAAACCAGUUUCUACAGUUAGAAGUGAAACCAGUUUCUACAUUAGAAGUGAAGCCAGUUUCUACAGUUAGAAGUGAAGCCAGUUUCUACAGUUAGAAGUGAAGCCAGUUUCUACAGUUAGAAGUGAAGCCAGUUUCUACAGUUAGAAGUGAAGCCAGUUUCUACAGUUAGAAGUGAAGCCAGUUUCUACAUUAGAAGUGAAACCAGUUUCUACAGUUAGAAGUGAAGCCAGUUUCUACAGUAGAAGUGAAACCAGUUUCUACAGUAGAAGUGAAACCAGUUUCUACAGUUAGAAGUGAAACCAGUUUCUACAGUAGAAGUGAAGCCAGUUUCUACAGUAGAAGUGAAGCCAGUUUCUACAGUUAGAAGUGAAGCCAGUUUCUACAGUCGAAGUGAAACCAGUUUCUACAGUUAGAAGUGAAACCAGUUUCUACAGUUAGAAGUGAAGCCAGUUUCUACAGUUAGAAGUGAAGCCAGUUUCUACAGUAGAAGUGAAACCAGUUUCUACAGUAAAAUAAAAGUGAAACCAGUUUCUAUAGUAGAAGUGAAGCCAGUUUCUACAGUUAGAAGUGAAGCCAGUUUCUACAGUUAGAAGUGAAGCCAGUUUCUACAGUAGAAGUGAAGCCAGUUUCUACAGUAGAAGUGAAGCCAGUUUCUACAGUAGAAGUGAAGCCAGUUUCUACAGUAAAAGUGAAGCCAGUUUCUACAGUAAAAGUGAAGCCAGUUUCUACAGUUAAAAGUGAAGCCAGUUUCUACAGUUAGAAGUGAAACCAGUUUCUACAGUUAGAAGUGAAACCAAUUUCUACAGUUAGAAGUGAAGCCAGUUUCUACAGUUAGAAGUGAAGCCAGUUUCUACAGUAGAAGUGAAACCAGUUUCUACAGUUAGAAGUGAAGCCAGUUUCUACAGUAGAAGUGAAACCAGUUUCUACAGUUAGAAGUGAAGCCAGUUUCUACAGUAGAAGUGAAGCCAGUUUCUACAGUUAGUGUGUUUGUAGUGAGCUGAUUACACAAUACACAUUGAGGGACAAUCAGUGGUAGUGUUUCACUCAAUGUUUGAAAGAUGCUGGGGUACCAAAUCGUACCCUAUUCCCUAUAUAGUGCACUACUGUUGACUGGUUAUCAGUUCAUUUUAAAAUACACCUGGAUAGGGUAUAAUGUUAUUCUAACGUACAUAGCCUAUGUGAUACGUACGUUACCUAGGUUCACUUAUUCCUCUGAUGUUGAGGCCCACAACAACCCUCUCAGGUCAUUUCAGGUUUUCCUACAUUUCGCUGUUUUUGAGUGAAGCUGUUUUAGAAAAUCUCCCAUCUCGUUUUCUUUUUAGCUGUAAUCUUAUUUGACUUGUUUCUCAUAUUAUUCAUUAGAGGGUAUUUUUCAUUUGAUCUGCAGUGAUAACGUGUUUUAUUAGAAUAUUUUCUUUAAAAGGUAAAAAACUGGUUAUGGUUGUCUGUCGCUCUGUUUUUCACAACAACAGUUGUUUGUUUUUUUGUUGCUGAAAACCCCUGAGGAUGCGUCCUCAGUAGCAAGCUAUGUUCUAUAUAUAGUGCAGUACUUCUGACCCGGGCACUGACCUCGGCCCAAUGCUGUUGGGUGCAUCAAAAAUAGUGAGGAAUAGUAUACAGGGAAUAGGACUGUGGUGUCUGAGGGCUGGUUCAGACUGUGAACCUCAUAAACCACCAUCCUGGUUAUUUAUGCAGAAGUCUUAGUUUAGCUCGGGUCCAGGGAGUUUAAGUGACGCCCUGGAUCAGAGCUACUGAGCUGCCUCGGUCGUGGUCUUCAUCCUACGUAUCUUUCCGUGGAUUGAUUCUCUCACGUCUCAUAGGCGAUGUUAUUGAAAACCUUUUUCAUUUCUGAAUAGGAAAGAAGCCAGACAUGACUCUAAACCUUUUGUAUCGUCGUGAAAGCGGAUUAUUCUAGAAUGUCUGAAUGUUCUAUGUCUCUCUCUAACCUUCAGAUCGAACCACACGGCGCUCUCUACAUCUCUGUCCCGACUGAAUAGUUUCAAGGUUUGCAAUCCCAAAUGGCAUCCUGUUCCCCAUGUAGGGCCACUGGUAAAAAGUAGUGCACUAAAUGGGGAAUAGGGUGCCAUUUGGGAGGUAGACCAAGUCACAUCUUAACUCAGGCAGCAUAGUUCAGCCAUGAUGAAAGACUUUAUGCUUUUUAUUUCAAUUGUGACUAACAUUUUACAUUAUCAAACGGGCUGAGACACUAAAAUCCUCAUGUUUUUUUUUAAUACUCAAUCGUCACAAACAACAAAAAACAAACCGGACCAAAGUUGAUGUGCCUUUCAUUGAUCUGUUAUUCAUCUCCUUGUUCCAUCCUCCAUCGCUAUUAUUUAAAUGAAAGUCCGUCAUUGCUCAAGACGAGAUCGUUGCUUCCAUCAACAACAAAAAAAUGGAGUCCAUUCCUAGCCUGGUCCAACCAGACUGAACGCUGUGCUCACUACAGAAAUGUAAUGAUAUUAGGUUGGAUACCAGGCUUGCCCAUUUGUUCCCACUUACCCUCAAAACACAAAAAAAAAACCUAACUAAAUGUAACCUUUAGCACUGAAACCAAAGGAAUUGAUUCCUCUAUUAGAACGAACUGUCAUGAUGACAGAGUAGCGUCCUUCGCUGGACCCGGGCUCGAGUCCCACACGGGGCUACCCCUCGAAUUCGCUACAGUAGAUUUGCUUUACCGUUUUGCGUCCAGACUCAGAGAUUCUGAUGAAUGUUUGAAGUGUUUCCUGACAUUCUACCAUUACUUUAAAUCACUGAAUUAUAUGGGAGACAAUUAAGAAGUUCAAUUGAUUUCCUGUUCCAUUAUUAUUAAAGGGAGAGAUGAUACAUUUUAAAGAGGCUUAUAUUUGCACAGCACCUAGUCAGGCCGCAUCCCAAAUGGGACUCUAUCCCCUAUUUACGUUCCCCAAUGAGUGCUAUCUGUAGGCGACGGGGUUCCAUUUGGGACGUAGUAGUAUCUCUUCUGAUCUGAUUUCAUUCUGUUUUUUCUUUUUGUGUUUUUCUUCGUCUCAUCACGGCGCGUCUUGAUAACAGACCUGGGUUUCUAUUCAAUCCGUAUUGGGGAGAUUCGGCCUUAACAUCGCGAUUUCGUUUAAAUGUCAACAUUCCCGCGUUAGUGGAGCUGCGUUCACGGUAAACGCCGCCUGUGUCGGCUCAAUCAGAAAAUGGCCUUUUAAUUUGACCACUUCAGCGAUACAGACUGAAUGGAGACUAAAGCUAAUAGUCCAAUGUUUCACAACCAAAAUAAAACAACAAAUGCUGUAAUCAAACAUGUCCUUUUUUUCCUAGUCUGGCCAAGAAAAAGGUUAAUGAGGCCAAGAUAGCUACAAACAACAACAAGACAUGGACGUUUUAUUUUUUGUAUUUGAAGAUGAGCACAUGAAAAAACAACUUGUCUUGUGUAUUUUGAUAUAAUACCAGGUUUGAUUUGUAAAGCAGUGUGUGUGACGUCGUGGGGAUGGAAGGUUUGGGGUGAGAAACAACAGGUUUCCUUUACGAGUUGAUGUAAUCAGAAUGCAAAUAGAUUAAAACUAUUAAAGAAACAUAUUUUCAAAUUUUUUGCGGUGCAUGGUUGAGUGGAGUUUCUGUAUUUUAUAUAGAAACAUUUUCAUUCAUGUUUUUGAAUUGAUUAUUACUAUGAUUAUCAUAAUCCUUAUUAUUAUAAUUAUUACACCAGAAUCCCAACUAUAAUUGUAGCAUGCCUUGAAUAAAUGUCAUGACCUCUGUACUGUCCUCAGUCCUCCAGUCUUCCUGUCUUCUUGGCUCUCCCUCACACGCUCUCAAUCAAACCCGUCUCAACUGUGUGUCUGUAAUGGCACCCUAUGCCCUAUAUAGUGCACUACAUUUAACCGCUCAAAACUGAC